rnacentral:rRNA from 1 species
CAAGUCGAACGCGAAAGGCUCCUUCGGGGGCCGAGUAGAGUGGCGCACGGGUGAGUAACACGUAGGUAAUUUGCCUUCGGGUGGGGAAUAACAGCCGGAAACGGCUGCUAAUACCGCAUAAUGCAGCGGCUCGACAUCGAGACAGUUGUUAAAGCGGGGGAUCGCAAGACCUCGCGCCUGAAGAGAAGCCUGCGGCAGAUUAGCUAGUUGGCAGGGUAAUGGCCUACCAAGGCGACGAUCUGUAACCGGCCUGAGAGGGCGGUCGGUCACACUGACACUGACAUACGGGUCAGACUCCUACGGGAGGCAGCAGUCGGGAAUUUUGGGCAAUGGGCGAAAGCCUGACCCAGCAACGCCGCGUGAAGGAUGAAAUCCCUCGGGAUGUAAACUUCGCAAGAAUGGGAAGAAUAAGUAGAAGAUAAUACCUUCUAUGAUGACGGUACCAUUUGUAAGCUCCGGCUAACUCCGUGCCAGCAGCCGCGGUAAUACGGGGGGAGCAAGCGUUGUUCGGAUUUACUGGGCGUAAAGGGCGCGUAGGCGGCCACGACAAGUCACUUGUGAAAUCUCCGGGCUUAACUCGGAACGGUCAAGUGAUACUGUCGGGGCUAGAGUGCAGAAGGGGGCAACUGGAAUUCUCGGGUGUAGCGGUGAAAUGCGUAGAUAUCGAGAGAAACACCUGCGGCGAAGGCGGGUUGCUGGGCUGACACUGACGCUGAGGCGCGAAAGCCAGGGGAGCGAACGGGAUUAGAUACCCCGGUAGUCCUGGCCUUAAACGAUGAAUGCUUGGUGUCUCGGGUUACAUAGUCCCCGGGGUGCCGUCGCUAACGCUUUUAGCAUUCCGCCUGGGGAGUACGGUCGCAAGACUGAAACUCAAAGGAAUUGACGGGGACCCGCACAAGCGGUGGAGCAUGUGGUUUAAUUCGACGCAACGCGAAGAAUCUUACCUGGGCUAGAAUGCCUCUGACCGCCCGAGAGAUCGGGUUUCCUGGGUAAAACCAGGCAGAGUGCAAGGUGCUGCAUGGCUGUCGUCAGCUCGUGUCGUGAGAUGUUGGGUUAAGUCCCGCAACGAGCGCAACCCUUAUCAACAGUUGCCAGCGGUUCGGCCGGGAACUCUGUUGAGACUGCCGUUGACAAAACGGAGGAAGGUGGGGAUGACGUCAAGUCCUCAUGGCCUUUAUGUCCAGGGCUACACACGUGCUACAAUGGCAAGUACAAAGCGCUGCAAACCUGCGAAGGGGAGCCAAUCGCAAAAAGCUUGUCUCAGUUCGGAUUGGAGUCU